rnacentral:tRNA from 1 species
UGUAGCUCAGUGAUAGAGCACAAGUUUAGCAUACCUGAGGCUCUGGGUUCAAGUCUUGGCA